rnacentral:rRNA from 1 species
UAAUACGGAGGGAGCUAGCGUUGUUCGGAAUUACUGGGCGUAAAGCGCGCGUAGGCGGCUUUGUAAGUUAGAGGUGAAAGCCCGGAGCUCAACUCCGGAAUUGCCUUUAAGACUGCAUCGCUAGAAUCCGGGAGAGGUGAGUGGAAUUCCGAGUGUAGAGGUGAAAUUCGUAGAUAUUCGGAAGAACACCAGUGGCGAAGGCGGCUCACUGGACCGGUAUUGACGCUGAGGUGCGAAAGCGUGGGGAGCAAACA